CGUGCAGGCGGUUUGAUAAGUUCGGCGUGAAAUUUUCCGGCUUAACCGGGGGAUGUCGUCGGAGACUGUCGGACUAGAGGGUGAUAGAGGCGUGUGGAAUUCCGGGUGUAGUGGUGAAAUGCGUAGAGAUCCGGAGGAACACCAGUGGCGAAGGCGACACGCUGGGUCACACCUGACGCUAAGACGCGACAGCAUGGGGAGCAAACGGGAUUAGAAACCCCGGUAGUCCAUGCCGUAAACGAUGCCAACUCGGUGUUUGAUCCGGGAAACCGGAUUGGGUACCCAAGCAAACGCGAUAAGUUGGCCGCCUGGGGAGUACGGUCGCAAGAUUAAA
rnacentral:rRNA from 1 species